ensembl:lincRNA AA543186 expressed sequence AA543186
GCGCGCAUCCGCUCCAUUGCAGGCGUCCUGCAGACUCCCUGUUGGGGGCGGACUGACUACGGUUUGGAGACGUGUUCUUUGUUGCAGUUACGUCUGGCUUGAGUUGCGGACUAUCACCCUUGCCGGAGUCCUGCGCUCGAUCUCGGGGAGCGGGCAUCACCCUGGCGCGCCUGGAGGUGAAACGCAAAACUCCUGACCGGAGGAAGGGACGGCCCUGCUGAGGCUGAGUCCUGGGGUGGCUCUGCGCCCUGAGGCCGCGGCCUGGCCUUUCUAGUCGCUCCGGCCUGGGAGCGACCCUUUCUGCGACCAUUCCGCUCCUAGCCCUACCUACGUACUCGGCAACGGGUUUAAAACGACCUCACUUUUCCGUGCGCGUGGUUCCCUCGAGGAAAACAUGCAAAACGACAAAACUGCCCACUGUCCGGCAUGUAUGCAUACCUUUUGUAUGAAGUAUCCAUGAAGGCCAGAAGAGGGCACUGUUGCCACUGGGACUAGAGUGACCAAUUGUUAGUCAUGUAGUGUUCAUACUAGGAUUUGAACCUGGAAGAGCAGUGUUAAUCAUGUAGCCAUCUCUUCAGCCCCCAAGGGAAGGACUUUUAAAGAUGAAAGCCUGAAAAAACUGCAGGAAACCCUCGAGUGUCUGCAUAAGCAACUCAAGAGCUGUUUUGCUCUGCCGCAUAAGCAAGUUACAGCAGCAAACAAGUAGUUGGUCAUAACGUAACACAUAGCUGGUCACUGCCGUAGGUGUGUGGGGGUUUGGGGGCAUGUCACUGAGUCCAGGUUACUGGGAAUUUAUCUUCUAAGGACUGGAGUCAGAAACAAAGACAAAGAGCUAGUGGGUACCAAGCUGGAUGCCUAGCAUAAAAUGGAGUUACAGUAGCCAUCACGUUGGGGACCCCUCAGAUGCACAGUGCUUGCUCUUUACCGCUGAACCCCUCACACCUCAAUCAUAAUAUACAAAAAGGAUUUUUGUUCUUUUUAUUGUUUUUGUUGAGACACGGUCUUGUUGCAUGGAUCUCUUGAUUUUUGUUUCUUUGAAGGAAAAUAUUUAGCUGAACCCAGGUGUAGUGGUGUACACCUUUAAUCCCAGCACUUGAGAGGCAGAGACCAGGUGGAUCUCAGUGAGUUCUAGGCCAGCCUGGUCUAAAGAGAAAGUUCCAAACCCAGCCAGAACUACAGCUCUGUCUCCAAAAAAGAAAAUUCGAUUGAAAGACACAAAUUUAAGUAUACAUUUAUUUAACAAAUGGAAAAUCAAAGCUAGAAGUCCAAAGAGGUUAGAGUAGGUUCCACAAGCUGGAGGAGGGGAGCAACAAAGUCCUGUAGGGUGGAUUUUUAAAAGACUUUAUGAGGUAGGUAGCAGUAGCAUAUUUGUAGGGUAAGGUGACCCUUUUUCUCUUUAUAAGUGUGUUAGGGGAUUUCCUCACCCCUUCAAGUCUCAUAGCCAGUUUUUAGGAGAGUAAAGAAUAAAACUUGAGCAGUGCCAUCUUUGCAAGCACUGGGUCAAAGUCUUCCGGAGACUGACCUCAUGGUUAAAUACAAUAGAAUUUGUGACAUUAGUUACAAAAAGAAUGAAUUCUAUUGACUGAUAAACAGAGCUUGGGGCCUAAGAGCAGUGGUUCUCAAGCCUGAAGAAGGCUUGGGGCUACACUGGGAUCCCAAAUACCCAGUGUAGUCGACAUCUGGCUAAUAAAGACUUUCUAUUGGC